rnacentral:rRNA from 1 species
UAGGGAAUCUUCCACAAUGGGCGCAAGCCUGAUGGAGCAACGCCGCGUGAGUGAAGAAGGUCUUCGGAUCGUAAACUCUGUUGUUAGAGAAGAACAUGCAGGAGAGUAACUGUUCCUGUAUUGACGGUAUCUAACCAGAAAGCCACGGCUAACUACGUGCCAG